rnacentral:rRNA from 1 species
UGGGGGAUAUUGCACAAUGGGGGAAACCCUGAUGCAGCGACGCCGCGUGGAGGAAGAAGGUUUUCGGAUUGUAAACUCCUGUCGUUAGGGACGAUAAUGACGGUACCUAACAAGAAAGCACCGGCUAACUACGUGCCAGCAGCCGCGGUAAAACGUAGGGUGCAAGCGUUGUCCGGAAUUACUGGGUGUAAAGGGAGCGCAGGCGGACCGGCAAGUUGGAAGUGAAAUCCAUGGGCUCAACCCGUGAAUUGCUUUCAAAACUGCUGGCCUUGAGUAAUGCAGAGGUAGGUGGAAUUCCCGGUGUAGCGGUGGAAUGCGUAGAUAUCGGGAGGAACACCAGUGGCGAAGGCGACCUACUGGGCACCAACUGACGCUGAGGCUCGAAAGCAUGGGUAGCAAACAGGAUUAGAUACCCUGGUAGUCCAUGCCGUAAACGAUGAUUACUAGGUGUUGGAGGAUUGACCCCUUCAGUGCCGCAGUUAACACAAUAAGUAAUCCACCUGGGGAGUACGACCGCAAGGUUGAAACUCAAAGGAAUUGACGGGGGCCCGCACAAGCAGUGGAGUAUGUGGUUUAAUUCGAAGCAACGCGAAGAACCUUACCAGGUCUUGACAUCCGAUGCAUAGUGCAGAGAUGCAUGAAGUCCUUCGGGACAUCGAGACAGGUGGUGCAUGGUUGUCGUCAGCUCGUGUCGUGAGAUGUUGGGUUAAGUCCCGCAACGAGCGCAACCCUUAUUGCCAGUUACUACGCAAGAGGACUCUGGCGAGACUGCCGUUGACAAAACGGAGGAAGGUGGGGAUGACGUCAAAUCAUCAUGCCCUUUAUGACCUGGGCUACACACGUACUACAAUGGCGUUUAACAAAGAGAAGCAAGACCGCGAGGUGGAGCAAAACUCAGAAACAACGUCUCAGUUCAGAUUGCAGGCUGCAACUCGCCUGCAUGAAGUCGGAAUUGCUAGUAAUCGCGGAUCAGCAUGCCGCGGUGAAUACGUUCCC